rnacentral:lncRNA from 1 species
ACAUGCCAGCUCUUAUACUACAAUGGAUGCAUGAGGCAGCAAGUAGGUCGAAGGUGUCUUUAUCCUACAACAUGAUCCUAACCCUCAUCUUCAAAGAGCAUGGCAUGGAGCCUAAAGGGGAGACGUCCAGAGCUCUUAUGCAUAUUGACACAUUCAAUGAUCAUUCUAUACAUUGCAUGGAAUACCAAAAGAUAGACGAUCAUUAGUUGUGUCAAGAAGCUAC